rnacentral:lncRNA from 1 species
UAGGGUGCACAAACUCCCUUUGACUUCGCAAAUGAAGUUGAUGCAAAUGAAGUUAAUGUACAUGAAGGGUUAGUAUUUCACCUGAUUGUGGCCGACAUAAAUUCAAAGAAAAUGGUGUACAUUGGAAGAAGUAAAGGUUGUGCACAAGUCCGAAUACAAGAAGUAGGAUUUAGCAUUCAUAUUCUUUCUAUGGAAGGGCUUAAUUCAAAUGAUCCCAAGGUAAACGUGGAAUAUAUAUUAUUGUUUUGGUUAAUUUGCAAAUCUUUCAUAAAGAAAUAGUAAUUUUAUCAUUUUUGGUCUUAUGUAUGCAGUAUGAACUUCUGAUGGCAAAUAUAAAUGCCUCUUUUGCUGUGAAUGUGGACAAGGACCUAAAAGAAAUUACCAACAGUGUUGAAAGGAUAAUGACUGAAAGAAUCCGAGCAUCUGCAACUUUAAUUCAUUUUCUGCUCCAAACAUCAUUUUGGAGUAAAAUAUACUUCAAUCUCACUCCAUUUUCAACUCCAAAAUUGGGUAAUGAUUAAGGUUAAUCCAUUCAUUUAUGGAGUAAUCUCACCUAUUACUCUAUUUUGGAGUUGA